AAGACUAUACUGUCAGGGCUCAUUUUUCUAUAGUUUGUUACUAGAGCAGUUUAUCUGAACAUGUAAAGCAAAAAAAAAAAAAAGAAAAAUUUCACAUAUCGGCCAAUGGCUUUUUUUUUUUGA
ensembl:snoRNA U3 Small nucleolar RNA U3